GACGUAGGGCGCAAGCGUUGUCCGGAUUUAUUGGGCGUAAAGAGCUCGUAGGCGGCCUGUCGCGUCGACCGUGAAAACCCGCAGCUCAACUGCGGGCUUGCGGUCGAUACGGGCAGGCUGGAGUUCGGUAGGGGAGACUGGAAUUCCUGGUGUAGCGGUGAAAUGCGCAGAUAUCAGGAGGAACACCGGUGGCGAAGGCGGGUCUCUGGGCCGAUGACUGACGCUGAGGAGCGAAAGCGUGGGGAGCGAACAGG
rnacentral:rRNA from 1 species